CUUCGUCCUUCGCCCUUCACCUUCGUCACUGUUCGCCUUCUUCUUCAUCUUCUUAAUCUUCAUCUUCUUCUUCAUACUCUUCAUACUCUUCAUCUCUCUGUUCACCUUCAAGCUCUACCAACAUGGGCGACGGCAAGGUAUCCGCAACGGUCUCUUCUCCUCCAAGCCCUCCGAUCCCAAAGGUGGUGCUCUAAAGCCAACAGAUAUUGACACAUUAUGAGUUCAUGUCACUUGUGCUUGGUUUCGGCCUGAAGUGGCUUUUGCUAGUGAUGAGAAGAUGGAGCCUGCUUUGGGUAUUCUUAGUAUUCCGUCAAGUUCUUUUGUUAAGAUUCGUGUUAUUUGUAAGCAAAUUCAUGGUUCAUGCACACAAUGUUGCAAGUGUUCUACUUAUUUCCAUGCCAUGUGUGCAUCUAGGGCUGGCUACUGAAUGGAGGGCUCCCAAUCCAGACACUAUUUUGAUUAUGCAAACCCCCCUUGGGGUCAUUUCAACUAAAAGUCUUCUACAAACUAAGAAAAAAACGGGUUCCAGGCUAAUUUCCUCUAGAAGAACAAAGAUUAUGAAGAGCUUGGGCACGAUGGUAACAGAACAGUUGCUAAUGGUGUUGACAAGGAAGGGCCAGUGCUUUCAAAGCUUUGUUCAAGUUCCACAACUGAGCUUCACCCCAAAAAUGGAGCUCAAGGUGAGUCCAAACCAACCAACAUGCCACCUACUAGUGUUAUGACAAGACUCAUCUUGAUCAUGGUUUGGAGGAAGCUGAUUAGGAAUCCCAACACUUACUCUAGCCUAAUUGGCCUCACAUGGUCUUUGAUCUCAUUCAAGGUCACACAUUGCUGCAAAGAGCAGCACUAACUACUUUUCCUUUCAAUUUCACCUCUAAUGGCACCACCACAACCCUAACUCUCUCUAUCUUUUGAUGCCACCAAAGUCUUCCUCAUGAACACCUCAGAUUCAUUCCCACUUACACCAACACGGGACCCUCGCCACGUGUUGAUGUCAAUAACAACCAGUUACAACAAGGAGAGCAAGAUGAUCUAGAGGUCCGCGUUGAGAAGAUUAUAUAUAGAUGCCGCUUUUUGGCUACUUUUGGAGUCUUUGGUUAUUUAAUUGUGGAAAUUAAUCGUGAAUCGGGUGACGACAUUUUGUACUAUUUAAAGAAUUUUAUUUUUGUUGUUAGUUGAUAGAGGACAAGCAUAGAAUUUAUUAUAUAUAACGUGACUUGUAAUUUUGAACUCUUAAAUUCCUUCUGUUCUUUUAUUCAUAUAAAGAGUUCCCUAGUGUUUUCUUUCUCCGUGGGACAUAUAUAUGGAG